rnacentral:snRNA from 1 species
AUACUUACCUGGCAGGGGAGAUACCAUGAUCACGAAGGUGGUUUUCCCAGGGCGAGGCUUAUCCAUUGCACUCCAGAUGUGCUAUUUAAAAAAAAAAAAAAACACCGUUCAAACC